UACGUAGGGACCGAGCGUUGUCCGGAAUCAUUGGGCGUAAAGAGCGUGUAGGCGGCCACUUAAGUCCUGCGUGAAAUCUUGCGGCUCAACCGCAAGCGGUCGUGGGAAACUGGGUGGCUAGAGUGCGGGAGAGGAGAGUGGAAUUCCUGGUGUAGCGGUGGAAUGCGCAGAUAUCAGGAGGAACACCGAUUGCGAAGGCAGCUCGCUGGGACGUAACUGACGCUGAGACGCGAAAGCGUGGGGAGCAAACAGG
rnacentral:rRNA from 1 species